GCAAACUUGGUCAUUUAGAGGAAGUAAAAGUCGUAACAAGGUCUCCGUUGGUGAACCAGCGGAGGGAUCAUUACAGAGUCUCCAGACUCCCAAACCACUGUGAACCUUACCUUAAACCGCGCUCCGGCGGGUCGCCCCCGGGGGGGUCGCCGGCCGAAAGGCACCCGCCGGAGCCAACCUCAAAGUCUCUGUACGAAAACAGUCUUCUGAGUGUCAAAAAAAUUAAAAUUCACAACUUCCAACAAUGGAUCUCUUGGUUCCGGCAUCGAUGAAGAACGCAGC
rnacentral:misc_RNA from 1 species